UACAGAGGUCUCAAGCGUUGUUCGGAUUCAUUGGGCGUAAAGGGCUCGUAGGUGGCCAACUAAGUCGGACGUGAAAUCCCUCGGCUUAACCGGGGAACUGCGUCCGAUACUGGUUGGCUUGAGUUUGGGAGAGGGAUGCGGAAUUCCAGGUGUAGCGGUGAAAUGCGUAGAUAUCCGGAGGAACACCGGUGGCGAAGGCGGCUUCCUGGACCGACACUGACGCUGAGGCGCGAAAGCUAGGGGAGCAAACGGG
rnacentral:rRNA from 1 species